rnacentral:rRNA from 1 species
GCAUAUCAAUAAGCGGAGGAAAAGAAACCAACAGGGAUUGCCUUAGUAACGGCGAGUGAAGCGGCAACAGCUCAAAUUUGAAAGCUGGCCCUUUCAGGGUCCGCAUUGUAAUUUGUAGAGGAUGAUUCGGCGAGGGCUCCCGCCUAAGUCCCCUGGAACGGGGCGUCAUAGAGGGUGAGAAUCCCGUAUGCGGUGGGCUGCCUUAGCCAUGUGAAUCUCCUUCGACGAGUCGAGUUGUUUGGGAAUGCAGCUCUAAAUGGGAGGUAAAUUUCUUCUAAAGCUAAAUACCGGCCAGAGACCGAUAGCGCACAAGUAGAGUGAUCGAAAGAUGAAAAGCACUUUGGAAAGAGAGUUAAAAAGUACGUGAAAUUGUUGAAAGGGAAGCGCUUGCAACCAGACUUGUCCGCAGUUGCUCAGCCGGGUCUCCUGACCGGCGUACUCUUCUGCGGCCAGGCCAGCAUCAGUUCGGGCGGUCGGAUAAAGACCUCGGGAAUGUAGCUCCUCUCGGGGAGUGUUAUAGCCCGGGGUGGAAUGCGGCCAGCCUGGACUGAGGAUCUCGCUUCGGGCAAGGAUGCUGGCGUAAUGGUUGUAAGCGGCCCGUCUUGAAACACGGACCAAGGAGUCUAACAUCUAUGCGAGUGUUUGGGUGUCAAAACCCAUACGCGUAAUGAAAGUGAACGGAGGUGGGAACCCGCAAGGGUGCACCAUCGGCCGAUCCUGAUGUUCUUCGGAUGGAUUUGAAGCAAGAGCAUAGCUGUUGGGACCCGAAAGAUGGUGAACUAUGCCUGAAUAGGGUGAAGCCAGAGGAAACUCUGGUGGAGGCUCGCAGCGGUUCUGACGUGCAAAUCGAUCGUCAAAAUUUGGGG